AUGUUAAGUGGAAAAGGAUGUGGCGUUGCCCAGACAACUAGGAUGUUGGCUUAGAAGCAGCCAUCAUUUAAAGAGUGCGUAAUAGCUCACUAGUCGAGUGACACUGCGCCGAAAAUGUACCGGGGCUAAACAUAUUACCGAAGCUGUGGAUUGUCCUUUGGACAAUGGUAGGAGAGCGUUCUAAGGGCGUUGAAGCAUGAUCGUAAGGACAUGUGGAGCGCUUAGAAGUGAGAAUGCCGGUGUGAGUAGCGAAAGACGGGUGAGAAUCCCGUCCACCGAUUGACUAAGGUUUCCAGAGGAAGGCUCGUCCGCUCUGGGUUAGUCGGGUCCUAAGCUGAGGCCGACAGGCGUAGGCGAUGGAUAACAGGUUGAUAUUCCUGUACCACCUAUAAUCGUUUUAAUCGAUGGGGGGACGCAGUAGGAUAGGCGAAGCGUGCGAUUGGAUUGCACGUCUAAGCAGUAAGGCUGAGUAUUAGGCAAAUCCGGUACUCGUUAAGGCUGAGCUGUGAUGGGGAGAAGACAUUGUGUCUUCGAGUCGUUGAUUUCACACUGCCGAGAAAAGCCUCUAGAUAGAAAAUAGGUGCCCGUACCGCAAACCGACACAGGUAGUCAAGAUGAGAAUUCUAAGGUGAGCGAGCGAACUCUCGUUAAGGAACUCGGCAAAAUGACCCCGUAACUUCGGGAGAAGGGGUGCUCUUUAGGGUUAACGCCCAGAAGAGCCGCAGUGAAUAGGCCCAAGCGACUGUUUAUCAAAAACACAGGUCUCUGCUAAACCGUAAGGUGAUGUAUAGGGGCUGACGCCUGCCCGGUGCUGGAAGGUUAAGAGGAGUGGUUAGCUUCUGCGAAGCUACGAAUCGAAGCCCCAGUAAACGGCGGCCGUAACUAUAACGGUCCUAAGGUAGCGAAAUUCCUUGUCGGGUAAGUUCCGACCCGCACGAAAGGCGUAACGAUUUGGGCACUGUCUCAACGAGAGACUCGGUGAAAUCAUAGUACCUGUGAAGAUGCAGGUUACCCGCGACAGGACGGAAAGACCCCGUGGAGCUUUACUGUAGCCUGAUAUUGAAAUUCGGCACAGCUUGUACAGGAUAGGUAGGAGCCUUUGAAACGUGAGCGCUAGCUUACGUGGAGGCGCUGGUGGG
rnacentral:rRNA from 1 species